GUUGUUGCUGGCCCUCUGGGCAUGUGCACGCUUGUCCAUCUUUAUCAUUUCUCCAACUUGUGCACUUAUUGUAGACCAUUAGAUUUGGGGACUGCUGUGCUUUUCAUCAGUCGGCUUUCCCUUUCUUUUAUACCAUUCAAGGUCUAUAUGAUUUUCACAAUCUCAUAAAUGUCGAAUGUAUGUUAAAAACGAAAGAAAUAUAUACAACUUUCAGCAACGGAUCUCUUGGCUCUCGCAUCGAUGAAGAACGCAGCGAAAUGCGAUAAGUAAUGUGAAUUGCAGAAUUCAGUGAAUCAUCGAAUCUUUGAACGCAUCUUGCGCUCCUUGGUAUUCCAAGGAGCAUGCCUGUUUGAGUGUCAUCAAGUUCUCAACCACAUAUUUUUUUGUGGCUUGGAUUGUGGGGUGUUGCCGGCUUUUAUACAAGUAGGCUCUCCUUAAAUGCAUAAGUGGUAUUUAGAAAAGCUACGUGUUGGGUGUUAUAAAUUGAUAAUACACCUUUUUGGCGAUUCUACUAUGCUGCUUCCAACCCUGUUUUUGUUUGACAAUUUUGACCUCAAAUCAGGUAGGACUACCCGCUGAACUUAAGCAUAUCAAUAAGCGGAGGAAAAGAAACUAACAAGGAUUCCCUCAGUAACUGCGAGUGAAGUGGGAAAAGCUCAAAUUUGAAAUCUGGCAGGUUCUACACACUGUCCGAAUUGUAAUCUAAAGAAGUGUUAUCUGUGCUGGACCAUGUAAAAGUCUUCUGGAAUGGAGCAUCAUAGAGGGUGAGAAUCCCGUCUUUGACAUGGACUACCAGUAUGUUUAUGGUACACUCUCAAAGAGUCGAGUUGUUUGGG
rnacentral:rRNA from 1 species